CCUACGCUCUAUGGUCUUGCAGCGGAAAGAUACCGGAGUAAAUUGCCUGUCGGACACCUUUGUUUCAUCUGUAUGUCGACGGUUACAAUUGUUUGGUGGACGGUCACUGCGAGCAGAGAUGAUAGUGGUCACAGUGAGGUAGAAUUUGAUCAAGAAGAUCUCCAAGGAAAUUGUCGACAUCUCAACCGUGAUGAAGAAUUUCAGAGAAAAGUGAUGGAAAUGCGUUAGGAUAUCCGCUCAUUGAAGAAACGGGAUGCAGAAAAGUACGAAGCAACUCAAAUUAUACAAGCGUCAACUGUUGAGGCUCUAAACCUCCUUGAUAGAUCCCUCGACUCCCUGGAGGAAAAACAGAAGCUGAUGAAUGCCUUGUCCAGGGUGGGAGGAGUCCACUUGAAAGACAAUGUUAAAAGGGUCAUGGAGAAAGAGUGUCCAGAGGACGACUGCAGAAAUGGAGGCAAGCAUUGCAGCGGCUGUCGCCUUCUGUUUGAAAUAUGCCCCAGACAGGGUGGGUGGAGGUGGAAGAAAAAAUAAUGCUUCUGAAGUUAAAUUUUUUUUUAGUUCAUAAGUGGGGUCUGAGUUCCGGACUGUUUGUUGAGUUUUGUUAAAAAUUUAAUUUUCUUUCAUUUUUCAAACCUUAUACCUGCUAAACACCUGCAUGUUAGCAUUGAACUUGUGAGCAUGUUUCCAUGUUAGCAUUAAAUUCAAAAUACCCCCUAUGUAGACUACAGCUUCAAGGAGCAUUUUCAUUAUGUUUGCCACCAUAAGUAGCUACUGAGCAAAGUCUUUUAAAACUACAAGUUUUAAAAUAAAGAGGUUAUUUUCUUAACUCAA